GCAGUCAAAUGUGCAUAGUAUAUUAUCUAUGUCUAGUGAUAAAGUUUUAUUUGCGUUCUGCACAUAGACUAUAUUGCUCACAUACAGUCUGCAGCCAAAGAGCAACAUGAGAUCAUAGUACUGGUCUAAUGAUGUUGAAAGACAAGUUUACUGUUGACCAGCCUCCAAAUUCUCAAACAUAA
rnacentral:snoRNA from 1 species